UACAGAGGUCUCAAGCGUUGUUCGGAUUCAUUGGGCGUAAAGCGUGUGUAGGUGGAUGUCUAAGUACCUUGUGAAAUCCCACGGCUUAACCGUGGAACUGCUUGGUAUACUGGAUGUCUUGAGCCAGCUAGGGGCUACCGGAACAAAUGGUGGAGCGGUGAAAUGCGUAGAUAUCAUUUGGAACGCCAAUGGUGAAAACAGGUAGCUGGGGCUGUGCUGACACUGAGACACGAAAGCCAGGGGAGCGAACGGG
rnacentral:rRNA from 1 species